UGGGCGCGUGGGGAGCAACAACCCUGGUCCAGGCAAGCUAGAGCUGCGCCUGGCCGGAAGGCACACGUGGAGACACUCCUGGGCAGAGUCACAAUGCAGAGCAUCUCGCCUUGUGGGCAGGAGUUCCCAGCCCCAGAGGCCUUUUCUCUCCAGGCAGCUCAGCGGCAGCCCGCUCCGCAGCUUCUAGAGGCGGCAGCCCCGAGCAUGAAGUGCAAGCCGAACCAGACGCGGACCUACGACCCGGAGGGCUUCAAGAAACGGGCGGCGUGCCUGUGCUUCCGCAGCGAGCUUGAGGAUGAGGUGCUGCUGGUGAGCAGCAGCCGGUACCCGGACCGCUGGAUCGUGCCGGGCGGGGGCUUGGAGCCCGAGGAGGAGCCGGGCGGCGCGGCCGUGCGAGAGGUGUACGAGGAGGCGGGAGUCAAAGGGAAGUUGGGUCGUCUGCUGGGCGUCUUCGAGCAGAACCAAGAUCGCAAGCACAGAACGUACGUGUAUGUGCUGACUGUCACCGAGCUGCUGGAGGAUUGGGAAGAUUCGGUCAGCAUCGGGAGGAAGCGAGAAUGGUUCAAGAUCGAAGAUGCCAUCAAGGUCCUCCAGUGCCACAAGCCCGUGCACGCCGAGUACCUGGAGAAGCUGAAGCUGGGCGGCUCCCCCACCAAUGGCAACUCCGCGGCCCCGCUGCCGCCGCUGCCGCCGCUGCCGGAGAGCGCGCCCUAGUGAAUGGCAUAGAUGUUGUUCAGAUUUACUUUGAAAGAAUCAAGUAUGUGAACCCAAUGAUGAAUGGAAAUUUGAAGCACAGGCAAGAUUGGGCAAGAGCAACCAUGACUAUAACUCCUCCUGGAAUAAUUGAAUGCAUCUGAAGAAUAGACCUCAGCUACUUGUGGUCAAGCCAGUUAAAUAUGAAAAAACAUAGGAAAGAGUCCACUAAUAACAAGAUAAAGCUAAACAGAAUCAUACCAGUGUCCAGAAUGUUAAUCUUGUUCUUUGUUUCAAGUGGAGGCCAUUCCUUUCCGUAGUUAGCAGAUGUUGGGAGGUUUCUGAGAGUUCUUUGAUGAAGAUGUUUCUUGGCUAGCAGUUAAGCUGUGGAUGGUGGCAAUGGUCUGUUCAAUUGGCUAGAUGCCCUGUGGACUGAAGCCGAGAGAGAUUAAUCAUCUCCCUCCCCACUCUUGACCAGGGUCAAGUGUUCUCUUCCUAUCAUCCAGAGUUGUUGUUUUCUUUCUAUAGCCACAUGAUCAGUAUGACUAGCUUCCACAGCAAUUACUUCACCGUUUUUUCAAGCCUCUUUACCCAAACCAUAUCUCUAACCUCAAUUCUGUGCAGUUCAGAAGUGUCUUCUUUAUACAUCCUGUAUAGGCCUAGAAUAUUUUCUAUGCCCUGAUAUAUGGGCCAUGCUCAGACCAUCUUAGGGGUUGUCACCUCAUAUAUAUCAUCAACAUUAUCAGCAAUAUCUAUAAUUCAGCAAUCAAAUACGGCAAGCAUAGCCAAACAACCAAAGAAACAUCAAGUUUAGUCUCCCAACCCCACAUCUUCUUGCUUUGUGCAUGUUCUAGUUGCCUUAUUUCCCAGGAAUGGGUAUGGAAGUGAAAAAUACAGUGAGAAGAAUGAAUCAUGGUUUGGAUUUCCUUACAGUCAUCCUGGGUUUCCUUCCCUACUCCUCAACCUCAUCAUUAAACAUUUUAUUUAAAUAGGUAUUCUUCAGCGGAAUUACUGUAUUUAAGCUCUUUAGGCCUGUCUUAAGGGGGUGCCUUAAGACAGCUGAGCCUUGGCUGUCAAGUUCUUUCUCUUUUUUGGGGGGGGUACCUGGAAUCAAACUCGGGACCUUGAGCUUACAAGGCAGGCGGUGGAACCACUGAGCUAAAUCCCAGCCCUUCUCAUUUUUUCCUUUAAGGGUCAUUCUGAGUUGGGAUCUUAGCUCAGUGCUACAGCUUUUGCCUAGCAUGCAGGAGGCCUUGGUUUCCAUCUCCAGUACCAGAAAAAAGUCAGUUCUGUCAUUCAGUGGCAUCAGCUGAUUGAGGACUAUAUGGAAAAUAAAAUGUCCUAUGAAUGUCUAAAAGGCUAUGUACUAUUUUUCACCUUUUACUAUAAAAUCAGUAUCAAUGUUCAGUCAAAAUAUCGAAAAUCCAAAUAUAUAACA